rnacentral:lncRNA from 1 species
UGGUGCGGGGAGUCAGCCUCUGGGGCCGCCCGGGGAGCUGGGAUGCGGCGCGGGCCACGUGCGCCCGGGAGUACUUAGCGUGGCAGGCGGCCCGCGGGCGGUGGUGGAGACCCUCUGUGGGCAGGGCCUUGUGCUGGGACGACCAUCCCUCAGCCGCAGGGUCGCCCGGUGACUUUCAGCUUUGAAUUCAGAGACUAUUGACGCCCCAGGCGGGGCCAGCGUCUCCAGACCAGGCCACGGGGCUGCAGAGAGAAGAACACGCCUGCUUUUGCCGCGGAUCGCGAGCGCUCGGGCGCAAAGACCCAGAGUGAGGUGGGGUUUAUUAAAUGAUGAAUUACAUCGAUUUUUGAAUGUUAAACCAACCUUGCAUUCCUGGGAUAAACCUCACUUGGUCCUGCUUUUUCUUUACCUGAAAAUGAUUCCUGACCGAGUGAAUUGCCCUUUGCUUUAAAAGCAACCCCAUCACUCACUCGAAGAUGUUAGUGCAGAGCUGCAUCUGAAUCUAAACCAGACUGCGUUAAAUCACUGUGCGUGUACAUCACGGUGCCUGGCAAACACAACCGUCGUUCUGGGGACAGCCACUUGAACUAGAGCAGUGGCAUUAAAUCUUCGCCUCACUCAAGUAUGGCCAUUCCGUGGUUUCGUUUACAGCUGACACGUCAAAGACAUUAUAAGGAAGAAGAUGAAACUCAAAGGCUCCACAAAAUUACCCAUGAAUAUGAUCCAGCAUUGGAAUGCACCCUGGAGCUUGAGGACAUGCCUGAAAUCCCCUGCAAACACUUGUCUUUCACUCCUCCUCAUACGCAGAAAGGAUGUGCACAUAUGACCCCUGGACUCACACAUGAUUCCAGCCCACAGUCACACUAAACUUGGGUUCGAGUUACACGUGUGCUUGCUUACACCUCAACUCACACACUCCCACCUGGACAUUUGUGUACACAGGCCUAUUCAUUCCUAGCAGAGCCAAAAUCUGCAUUUACAGCUACAUCAAAAACACACUUUUAGGUCCCUCAGAAACAAAUGGCAACAGAGAAGGGAAACAGGGCAGCUCUAAGAAUGGCCCUGCUCCCUCCUCUUCUGUCCGGGAGCAAAGCAACCAGGAUCUUUUGGGCUAAGUCGAUAUGCUGGGCCCCAGUGUAGACUCUUACAACAGGCCCUGAUCCGACUCCAAGGCCAAGAGCAGCAAUCCCCUCCCCGCCACGUCUGCUGGGUUCCUCCAGCUGUCUCCAGGGCAGUUCUCCCUACAUGCAAACUAUUAGCAUUUCCUGUUAAAACAUUUCUAAUAAAUAAAUGAAUACAUCAUCUUCCCAACCCAAAGCAGGUCUGAAAGCAGCCUAGGAGCUACUCCAAGCUAAGGAUGGACGUGGACCACCCAGCACCAGCCCACUGGCCCAGGGCCAAUGUUGCUUUUGUUUGAAUUCCUGU